rnacentral:lncRNA from 1 species
UUUAUUACUGGAGUGAGGCUACUAUGCUAUCGGAAGCACGGAGCCUUCCGUGCUUCCAGCUCGUUUUCGAUGUUGCGACUUUCGAAUCGUCGAUCGGCUCCGUUAAACUUGAUCUAGAGUAUUUGGAGUACCUAGAAAAUAAAUUUUAUUAUUUUUCGAUAUCAUUUGCCUAGUGAUCGAAUGGGCUCAAAAUCAACAAAUUUCAAAGGCCGUAGUGAGCCGUUUGCAAGUUUAAUGGCGUAGAAAUAUCCAAAUCACGUAAAAUUUUGAUAGAAAAUUCUUUAUACUAUAUAAAAUAAGAUCAAUAUUUUUGAUUUAAAAUUUUAAUGUCAUAUUAUUACAUUUUAUAAGAUUUUUAUUUUCAGCCGUUGAUUUUGAGCCCCUUCGUUCAUUAGGCAAAUGAUAUCGUAAAAUCAUAAAAUUUAUUUUCUAGAUACUUCAAAUACUCUAGAUCAAGUUUAACGGAGCCGAUCAACGAUUUGAAAGCCGCAACAUCAAAAACGAGCUGGAAGCACGGAAGGCUCCGUGCUUCCGAUAGCAUAGUAGCCUCACUCUUAUUACUUUAUAUUUCUACGUACACGUACAUCACCUUUUUAACUUUAUGAGCACUGGCACUACAAAUUAUUACGAAUUUCUGCCACUUCAAGACUAAGUGACUGUUUGGUUGUACGUAUCUAUAAUCGUACUGCAGUUGUAAAUACAUACAAUCUCGAUUUUUGUAUUUGGUUUAGUAUAGUUGAGUCUAACUGCUGCAGUUGUAAUUGUACAAAAAAGUCCAAAUGCUGUAGUUGGAGCUAUAUUCAAAUUGACCACCAGUUCCAAUUGCAGUAGUUGUUAGAAAAAGGAUUACCCACAAAUUAAAAAUAAUAAUAAAUAAAUAAAUAGCUAAAUAAAUAAAUCAUUAAUAUAUAAAAUUUUUUAGCCAAUACAAGAUUUGUGCAAAAAAUUAUUUUUUAAAAUUUAUUUUAUUUAAAAUAUAAAAAUAGUUUUUUUAAAUUUUCAUAUAAUGUGAUUGUGUAAGUUAACUUAAUAAGUUUUAAUUAAUUAUAAUUAUUAAAUUUGAUAAAAAAAUGAGAGAAUUGUUUAAAUUUUUAAAGUUUGAUUUACGUAUUAAAAUUAAAUAAAUUAAAAUUUUAAAUG